GCCUCGGUAGCGUAGUAGGCAGCGCGUUAGUCUCAUAAAUAAUUCAACAGAGUCAUCUGAAGGUCGUGAGUCCGAUCCUCAUUCGGGGCA
rnacentral:tRNA from 1 species